CCUACGGGUGGCAGCAGUGGGGGAUAUUGCACAAUGGGGGGAACCCUGAUGCAGCGACGCCGCGUGAGCGAUGGAGGACUUCGGUAUGUAAAGCUCUGUCAGCAGGGAAGAAAAUGACGGUACCUGACCAAGAAGGCCCGGCUAAAUACGUGCCAGCAGCCGCGGUAAUACGUAGGGGGCAAGCGUUAGCCGGCUUUACUGGGGGUAAAGGGAGCGGAGGCGGCAGGGCAAGCCUGAUGUGAACGCCCGGGGCUCAACCCCGGGACUGCAUUUGGAACUGCCCUGCGGGAGUGCCGGAGGGGCAGGCGGAAUUCCUGGUGUAGCGGUGAAAUCCGUAGAUAUUAGGAGGAACACCAGUGGCGAAGGCGGCCUGCUGGACGGUGACUGACGCUGAGGCUCGAAAGCGUGGGGAGCAAACAGGAUUAGAUACCCCAGUAGUC
rnacentral:rRNA from 1 species